rnacentral:lncRNA from 1 species
CUAUAGGAAAUAAUUAGUUUAAAUUGCAAUAUUUGCCAUUGAAUUUAUUGUAAUAUUUCAAUUCAUAGGGUUAGGGUUAUUGACUUAAUAAUGUAUCCAUGUCCCUCUCAGGUUGACCACUUGACAUGUGAGAGCCUGAGGAGUUGUUCCCCCUCGAUCCAUUUUCAAGGACUUGCUCUCUUACUGCCUCCACUUCACCACUUUCUGGCUACUGAGACGUCCCUGAUUUGUUGAGUUGACCACCCUAUAUAUGAGACCCUAAGGGGUUGUUUUCCCUCUGUCCCCUUUUGAGGACCUGCUUUGUCUCCUCCAUCAUUCACUGGGCCACUUUUGGGUUCCUGAGCUUAUUUCAUGUGGUUUUCCUGACCUGCUAGAAGUUCUUCUAUGAUGCUUGAGAGAGAGAGAGAGAGAGAGAGAGAGAGAGAGAGAGAGAGAGAGAGAGCUUCAUCUUGACUUUGUGAGUUUAUUAUGCAACUUGUUUUGUCUCAGAUUGAAACAAAAGGUCAUGAAUUUGGUGAGGAGUGGAGCUGGCUGGCUGCGGACGAGGAAGUAGGGCAAUAUAUACAUGUGCACAUACACGUAUAUGAGAAUGCAUAUCUAUUCAGACCUGUAAUUCACGCCUUAGGCUUUUUCACACUGCUAUAGAUAAUAAUUUUUUUUUCAAUUCUCUAUUUAUGGUUUCACAAUGACUGAGUCACCGUUAAAACAAAUGAGUUUCAGCUCUAAUGCUGCUACUGUCUGUAAUAUGUUUCUAUUUAGAUUAUUUGUUUGAUAUUUUGUUAUUAUUGUCCGAGUCUGGUUUUAACUAAUGCUGGGCUUACACCAAAAGAUUUUCACAGUCACAGACUAAAAACUGAAAGGGUAGCAUGAGGGUUCUUCCCGUUAGUCUCGUCCCACCCCUAGUCAUGACAUAACUUCUGUUGUGAUUUGACACUAUAAUGAAUAAAGACUGAUUGAUUGAUUGCUAUAGCUGUCAAUUUUAGUCCUUGAGUUCAUAGUUACGUGCUUUAUUUGUUAACUGCUAUCAAGGAAUAU